AUUGAACGCUGGCGGAAUGCUUUACACAUGCAAGUCGAGCGGCAGCGCGGGGGGCAACCCUGGCGGCGAGCGGCGAACGGGUGAGUAACAUAUCGGAACGUACCCUGUCGUGGGGGGAUAACUAUCCGAAAGGAUAGCUAAUACCGCAUACGACCUGAGGGUGAAAGCGGGGGAUCGCAAGACCUCGCGCGAUAGGAGCGGCCGAUAUCGGAUUAGCUAGUUGGUGAGGUAAAGGCUCACCAAGGCGACGAUCCGUAGCUGGUCUGAGAGGACGACCAGCCACACUGGAACUGAGACACGGUCCAGACUCCUACGGGUGGCUG
rnacentral:rRNA from 1 species